rnacentral:rRNA from 1 species
UAGUGGUUGAGCUGACUCUUAAGGAGUAUGUGCUCGCUCUAUCGCUUUUUCUAUUCUCCACUGUGCACCUAUUGUAGGCUACGAUACACUCUCAAAGGAUCCUUUUUAAGGGAUAAUUUGGAUGGAAGGGCCCUAUGCAAUUCAUUUGCUGGCUUUCAAUUUCGUAGCCUAUGUCUAUACAAACUCGAAUAAUCUUAUCUGAAUGUGAUAAUUGUUGGUCCUAUGACCGAUAAAUCAUAUACAACUUUCAGCAACGGAUCUCUUGGCUCUCGCAUCGAUGAAGAACGCAGCGAAAUGCGAUAAGUAAUGUGAAUUGCAGAAUUCAGUGAAUCAUCGAAUCUUUGAACGCACCUUGCACUCCUUGGUAUUCCGAGGAGUAUGCCUGUUUGAGUGUCAUUAAAUUCUCAAAGACUUUUUUAAGCUUGUUUGCUUUUUAGGUUCUUUGGAUGUGAGGGUUUCCUGCUGGCUUGAGAACUCGAGUCCGGCUCCCUUUAAAUGCAUUAGUGGUUGCUUCAUUCACUAGAGUGUGAUAGUAUAUCUACGCUCGCUACAGUGAACUGAUAAAUCAUCUGCUUCCAACUGUCUUGCCUUCAAGACUAUCUUUUUGACUAUUUGACCUCAAAUCAGGUAGGACUACCCGCUGAACUUAAGCAUAUCAAUA